rnacentral:rRNA from 1 species
GAUGAACGCUAGCUACAGGCUUAACACAUGCAAGUCGAGGGACCGGCGCACGGGUGAGUAACACGUAUCCAACCUGCCCUUUACUCGGGGAUAGCCUUUCGAAAGAAAGAUUAAUACCCGAUAUAAAGGAUGGGGAUGCGUUACAUUAGGUUGUUGGUAAGGUAACGGCCCACCCAGCCUUCGAUGGAUAGGGUUUCUGAGAGGAAGUUCCCCCACAUUGGAACUGAGACCCAGUCCAAACGCCUACGGGAGGCAGCAGUGAAGAAUAUUGGUCAAUGAGCGCUAGCCUGAACCAGCCACGUAGCGUGAAGGAUGAAGGCUUUUGGGUGGUAAACUUCUGUGAUAUAAGAAUAUGUAUUAUAUGAAUAAGGAUCGGCUAACUCCGUGCCAGCAGCCGCGGUAAUAC